rnacentral:rRNA from 1 species
AGAUUCCUACGGGAGGCAGCAGUGGGGAAUAUUGCACAAUGGGCGAAAGCCUGAUGCAGCCAUGCCGCGUGUAUGAAGAAGGCCUUCGGGUUGUAAAGUACUUUCAGCUGUGAGGAAGGGGGUGAGCUUAAUACCCUUAUCUCUUGACGUUAGCUGCAGAAGAAGCACCGGCUAACUCCGUGCCAGCAGCCGCGGUAAUAAUU